CCGCCCACCCUCACGGUCCUGCCCCCCUCCAGUGUACAGCUGCAGCAGGAGAAGGUCACACUCGUGUGUCUGGCCAACAAGGGCUUCCCCUCAGACUGGAAGCUGAGCUGGAAGGUGGCUGGUAGCAGCUGGAGCUCGGGGGUGAGCCAGAGCUCCGGGCUUCUGCAGAAGGACGGCCUCUACAGCUGGAGCAGCACCCUGACCCUCCAGAAGGAGGAGUGGCUGAAGAACACAGUGACCUGUGAGGCCACCAAGGACUCCCAGUCUCCUGUCACACAGACACUGAGUAGAGAGCAGUGUUGGGGACUCGUAAUAGGUCAGACUCCACAGUGCCUGCAAGAGAUCGACAUGGCUGUCCUUGUGCCUUGGUCGUUCCGGACUCUUUGA